rnacentral:RNase_P_RNA from 1 species
GUAACAGUCCGCGGCACGGUAAACUCCACCCGGAGCAAGGCCAAAUAGGGGUUCAUAAGGUACGGCCCGUACUGAACCCGGGUAGGCUGCUUGAGCCAGUGAGCGAUUGCUGGCCUAGAUGAAUGACUGUCCACGACAGAACCCGGCUUAUCGGUCAGUUUCACCU